rnacentral:piRNA from 1 species
UAACGAGUUAUCGCAGGGCAGUGGU